CUACAGAGGGUGCGAGCGUUAAUCGGAAUUACAGGGCGUAAAGCGCGCGUAGGCGGUUCGGCAAGUCGGGUGUGAAAUCCCCGGGCUCAACCUGGGAAUUGCACCCGAAACUGCCGGGCUAGAGUGUGGUAGAGGGAAGCGGAAUUCCGCAUGUAGCGGUGAAAUGCGUAGAUAUGCGGAGGAACACCAGUGGCGAAGGCGGCUUCCUGGACCAACACUGACGCUGAGGUGCGAAAGCGUGGGGAGCAAACAGGAUUAGAAACCCUAGUAGUCC
rnacentral:rRNA from 1 species